GUGCCAGCAGCCGCGGUAAUACGUAGGAUCCAAGCGUUGUCCGGAUUUACUGGGUGUAAAGGGCGUGUAGGUGGAUUUUUAAGUCGGUGGUGAAAUCCUGCAGCUCAACUGCAGAAUUGCCUCCGAUACUGGAAGUCUUGAGUGCGGCAGAGGGAGACGGAAUUCAUGGUGUAGCGGUGAAAUGUGUAGAUAUCAUGAAGAACACCGGUUGCGAAGGCGGUCUCCUGGUCCGUUACUGACACUGAGGCGCGAAAGCGUGGGGAGCAAACAGGAUUAGAUACCCUGGUAGUCCACGCCCUAAACGAUGGGUACUCGGUGCUGGGCCGCAAGGUUCAGUGCCAACGCAAACGCAUUAAGUACCCCACCUGGGGAGUACGAUCGCAAGGUUGAA
rnacentral:rRNA from 1 species